rnacentral:rRNA from 1 species
AAUGAACGCUGGCGGCGCGCCUAAUACAUGCAAGUCGAGCGAGAAGACGUAGCAAUACGUUUGUAAAGCGGCGAACGGGUGAGGAAUACAUGGGUAACCUACCCUCGAGUGGGGAAUAACUAGCCGAAAGGUUAGCUAAUACCGCGUACGCUUCUUGGACUUCGGUUCAGGGAGGAAAGCGAUGCCGAGGGUAUCGCGCUCUUGGAUGGGCUCAUGUCCUAUCAGCUUGUGGUGAGGUAACGGCUCACCAAGGCUUCGACGGGUAGCUGGUCUGAGAGGACGAUCAGCCACACUGGCACUGCGACACGGGCCAGACUCCUACGGAGGCAGCAGUAGAAUAUUGCGCAAUGGGCGAAAGCCUGACGCAGCGACGCCG